AGCGGCGGACGGGUUAGUAACGCGUGGGAAUAUGCCCAAAGGUACGGAAUAGCCUCUGGAAACGGAGAGUAAUACCGUAUGUGCCCUUCGGGGGAAAGAUUUAUCGCCUUUGGAUUAGCCCGCGUUGGAUUAGGUAGUUGGUGGGGUAAUGGCCUACCAAGCCUACGAUCCAUAGCUGGUUUGAGAGGAUGAUCAGCAACACUGGGACUGAGACACGGCCCAGACCCCUACGGGAGGCAGCAGUAGGGAAUCUUAGACAAUGGGCGAAAGCCUGAUCUAGCCAUGCCGCGUGAGUGAAGAAGGCCCUAGGGUCGUAAAGCUCUUUCGCCAGGGAUGAUAAUGACAGUACCUGGUAAAGAAACCCCGGCUAACUCCGUGCCAGCAGCCGCGGUAAUACGGAGGGGGUUAGCGUUGUUCGGAAUUACUGGGCGUAAAGCGUACGUAGGCGGAUUAGUCAGUCAGAGGUGAAAUCCCAGGGCUCAACCCUGGAACUGCCUUUGAUACUGCUAGUCUUGAGUUCGAGAGAGGUGAGUGGAAUUCCAAGUGUAGAGGUGAAAUUCGUAGAUAUUUGGAGGAACACCAGUGGCGAAGGCGGCUCACUGGCUCGAUACUGACGCUGAGUACGAAAGUGUGAGGAGCAAACAGGAUUAGAUACCCUUGUAGUUCACACGA
rnacentral:rRNA from 1 species